rnacentral:lncRNA from 1 species
UCGUUUAAAAUGUUCCUCGGAGUUUGGUAUAUUUGUUAUUUUGAUGAAUUAGAAAAGUUCUUUACUCUCCAAUCAUAUAUCCUAUCUACCAGAGUAGGAUUUACAGCUAAUUUGUCGCGUUCAAAACGGAUUUCCGGGUCGUUCCAUAAAUUUAAGAUAUGAAUAACCAACCCAGUAGUCAGUGAUACGGUGCUUUUUGUCCGCAAUUUGCUUUUUGUCCGCUUUUGCUUUUUGUCCGAUAAUUUUGCUUUUUGUCCGACACUUUUGCUUUUUGUCCGUUGCUUUUUGUCCGUUUCGCUUUUUGUCCGAUAAUUUCGCUUUUUGUCCGACACUUUUGCUUUUUGUCCGUUGCUUUUUGUCCGUUUUGCUUUUUGUCCGAUAAUUUUGCUUUUUGUCCGACACUUUUGCUUUUUGUCCGUU